rnacentral:lncRNA from 1 species
UUGACAGUUUGGCUUCCCUGUUCUGGGUGGCAAAGCCUGUGGAGUACUCACCUACCUGCUGCAUGAAGGCAGCAUGGAGGGACUGUGGUGGAUUAUCUGCAAAGAUGGCCAAAAUUCUCUCAUCCCUGCAGGCACAUACAAGGAAAUUGAGGUAUACGGAAUGCUUAUUUGGUUUACUCAGUAUCAUCCUAAAUGUAUGUACCAAUGCUUAGGAGUUUGCAGUUCACCCGCAAACCUCAGCGAUCCAAGCUCCCCUGGAUGACCAUCACUCACCAAGAAAAGAACAAUAACAGGACCUGUUUUGCUAAUCCAGGACUGUUCUCCAGCACUAACUCUAAAUAAUCCCUUCUGCUAGAGUCCACUUUCUGGAACCUGUUGCCUCCGUUUUCAACGUUUCCCAAACUUGGUCCGUUGUGUGAGCUGGCUGAUAAAAGUUCCAGGGAGAGGACAUCUUACUCUUAUUGGAUCAUGCACAGUGCCUGAAGCAUUCUGUUGCAUGUAGAAAUCAGUAAAUUGCAGAUGUAAGAUUCAAAACCAGACUUCACAUCUACCGACUUCAGUGACCCUGAAAUUUGUUCACAGAGAGCAUUUAACAUAACUGUCUUCAUCAUCUCCUUCUCUACAUUAAAAAUUAUGGAAAAUACAGGGAGGUGUGAUGUACCCAUUAUCACAAGCAGAUGGAAUGCCUAUAGAGUCGGAUCUCAUCUACAUAUCACCUAUUA